rnacentral:rRNA from 1 species
UUGAUACGUAUUAGGCAUCAACCUUUCCUCCUCGCUGAAAGUGCUUUACAACCCGAAGGCCUUCUUCACACACGCGGCAUGGCUGCAUCAGGGUUUCCCCCAUUGUGCAAUAUUCCCCACUGCUGCCUCCCGUAGGAGUCUGGACCGUGUCUCAGUUCCAGUGUGGCUGAUCAUCCUCUCAGACCAGCUAGGGAUCGUCGCCUUGGUGAGCCAUUACCUCACCAACUAGCUAAUGCCCACCUGGGCAUAUCCAAUCGCGCAAGGCCCGAAGGUGCCCCUGCUUUCCCCCGUAGGGCGUAUGCGGUAUUAGCAGUCGUUUCCAACUGUUAUCCCCCUCGACUGGGCAAUUUCCCAGGCAUUACUCACCCGUCCGCCGCUCGCCGGCAAAAGUAGCAAGCUACUUUCCCGCUGCCGCUCGACUUGCAUG